GACGAACGCUGGCGGCGUGCCUAACACAUGCAAGUCGAACGGGGUAAUCCUUCGGGGUUACUUAGUGGCGAACGGGUGAGUAACGCGUGAAGAACCUGCCUUUCAGUGGGGGACAACAGUUGGAAACGACUGCUAAUACCGCAUAAUGUUUUCGAGGGGCAUCCCUUGAAAACCAAAGCUUUAUGUGCUGGAAGAUGGUCUCGCGUCUGAUUAGCUAGUUGGAGGGGUAACGGCCCACCAAGGCGACGAUCAGUAGCCGGUCUGAGAGGAUGAACGGCCACAUUGGGACUGAGAUACGGCCCAGACUCCUACGGGAGGCAGCAGUGGGGAAUAUUGGGCAAUGGGGGAAACCCUGACCCAGCAACGCCGCGUGAAGGAAGAAGGCUUUCGGGUUGUAAACUUCUUUUACCAGGGACGAAGAACGUGACGGUACCUGGAGAAAAAGCAACGGCUAACUACGUG
rnacentral:rRNA from 1 species